rnacentral:rRNA from 1 species
CCUACGGGAGGCAGCAGUGGGGAAUCUUGCGCAAUGGGCGAAAGCCUGACGCAGCAACGCCGCGUGCGGGAUGAAGGCCUUCGGGCUGUAAACCGCUUUCAGCAGGAACGAAAAUGACGGUACCUGCAGAAGAAGGAGCGGCCAACUACGUGCCAGCAACCGCGGUGACACGUAGGCUCCAAGCGUUGUCCGGAUUUAUUGGGCGUAAAGAGCUCGUAGGCGGUUUAGUAAGUCGGGUGUUAAAACUCUGGGCUCAACCCGGAGAGGCCAUCCGAUACUGCUGUGACUUGAGUUCAGGAGGGGAGCGGGGAAUUCCUAGUGUAGCGGUGAAAUGCGCAGAUAUUAGGAGGAACACCGGUGGCGAAGGCGCCGCUCUGGACUGAAACUGACGCUGAGGAGCGAAAGCAUGGGUAGCAAACAGGAUUAGAUACCCUGGUAGUCCAUGCCGUAAACGGUGGGCACUAGGUGUGGGUUCCAACUAACGGGAUCCGCGCCGUCGCUAACGCAUUAAGUGCCCCGCCUGGGGAGUACGGUCGCGAGACGUAAACGUACGAAGGAAGUAGACGGCGUGAGACGUUGCCGAACGGACGACGACGAGGGAGGUAGG